rnacentral:lncRNA from 1 species
UUCCUCCUCAUUGAGCUUGAUUGUCUUGGAGUCUCCUUUAUACCUCUCUUAUCAAAAGGUAGAGCCGUAGGCUGUUAUCUAGAAUCUGUAGAUUUGUUAGGCCAUUGGGUCAUGUUCUAACUGUUCAUUGGGAAAGGAUUCUUCCAAUAACAAUCGAAUCAAGGUUGUGGAUGUCCGUUGCGUAUUUCGCCCAUGUAGAAAGUUGUGUGGCAAUCAGUAAUAAGCACGAGGUCAAAGUUCCGGACCCAAGUCCGGUGCGAUUUCGCCAAGUCAGUCCGAAUGCUCCUCAAAGAGAGGGGUUGUCCCGAUCGGGAGGAAACCUCCACAGCAUAAAUAAUGAACACUUCCAAUAUGCAAUAAUACUGUUGGCAUU